UUGGAGGGCAAGUCUGGUGCCAGCAGCCGCGGUAAUUCCAGCUCCAAUAGCGUAUAUUAAAGUUGUUGCAGUUAAAAAGCUCGUAGUUGAAUUUCGGGAUCAGACUGUCGGUCGUGCCUCGGUACGCACUGGCAUUAUUGGUUCCUACCUUCUGAAGAACCGCGAUGUCAUUAAUUUGGUGUCGUGGGGAAUCAGGACUGUUACUUUGAAAAAAUUAGAGUGUUUAAAGCAGGCUUACGCUUGAAUACAUUAGCAUGGAAUAAUGAAA
rnacentral:rRNA from 1 species